AUAUGCGCCACGUUAUUCCGAUUCUGCUCCUCCCUCUUUCUCGCCCUCUCUCUCUCUUCUCUCACGCUUUCAGAUCCACCAGCAACACGCACAAGAGCAGCUCGACCCCAUCGCCCACCUCCACGGCACGGUACACCUCCGUUUUCGAGUCUGCCGUUGCUGCUACUCUUUUCAUACACCCACACCCACGCUGCGCCUGUAUUCCUCGUGCAUUUCCUGUUUUUUCGUUCGUUGAUUUCAUUUUUUGCUUCUGCGUGUUUUGGCCACAUCUAUCUUUUUGCUUCUCGCACACCUCACGCAUUCCCCUCAUUGCCCGCCACCCACACAGCUUAGCAACCCUUGCCGUCAUCGUACACGUGGCACUGGCAGAGGUAAUUUGGCAGUCUAUUAGUUAUAAGUCGUCUGUUUUUUUUUGUCUUUUUUUUGGCGGCUUGACUAACUCCUUCGGCGUUCCCCAAGCAAUUGUGACGGUGCUCUGACCUCUUUCGAGGCUUCCGCAGAGAAGCCGCAACGUAAAACACAGAAACAGCACGUCAGGAUACAAUGCCUCGCACGCGUGAUACCCACCAGCAGGUCCAGGAAGUGGUCGAUGGAAUCGACGGUGUCGCCUCGCAGGUGCACGUCGACGUAAACGAAAAGGCACAGGAUGCUCAGAAGAGCAUCUCGGGUGCCGCGGCGACCGUGCAGAAAGCCCCUGACGCCGCCCAGAAUGGCGUGCAGAACGCGAUGAACACUGUGCAGUCCUACGUGCAUGAGGGGCAGCGGCUCGCUUCGGAGCACAAGGUGCAGUUGCAGGAGGCUGUAAAGAAGGCUGUGAAUGCCGCGCACGAGUAUGUCGAGGAUGCCCGGAAGAAGGCUGACCCGUACGUUGAGAGCGCGAAGGCGAAAGUGGAUUCGGCCAGGGCCUCCGUGGAGAACGCGCGCCACUCUGCCCAGAACGCUGUGGACAACGCCAAGGAGCAGGUGACCGCUGUGCGCACCAAGGUGACGGCCAAGACGCAGCCGUACGUGAGCAACUACCAAGAGUUCGACGUCACCAAGACGGCGGCCUUCCACGUGCUCAUUCACAUCAUCAGCAGCGUGCUGUACAUAGCCUGGCGUUUGACGCAGUUGAUUCCGUCCGCUCAGCACAUGAUUACCGUCAUUCAGCAAAAGGAGGCCGAUGCGGCGGUGGCGCGGAACUGCGCGACGGUGAUGCAAAAAGUGCCGGUUGUGGGCCCGCGAGCCGUCGAGGUGGCCACGAUCGCUGUCAACAACGUGUGCACUGACCUCAACGAGCAGAUUUCGCAAUACACCACUGCGGCACAGCGUCCGAAGACUGCGUAAGCCCCCGCUCCUACGUUCGGCAACUCUCCACUCCCUCUAUCCCCUCCGCCCCUGGCACUUCGGCGCCGAUGUAUCGCUGCGCGCUGAUACAUACGCAAACACACACACACACACACACACACACACACACACACACACACUGGUGGGCUCAUUCCCUGUGUGUGCGGUCUCUGCCCCUCCGCCACCACACAAGCACAGACUUCUCUAUUCCGGUAGUGUCUCUGGCUGUGAAUCAUUCGUCUUGUUGUUACUGGUGUUAUGUCACCACCCCUCUCCUGCCUUGGUCCGUGUUACGACAUGCGUUUCUGGUCCGCUUCAUUUGCCUUUCAAUUUCGCGUUCUCUACGGUGUUCUCUCCAGCGCCGUAACGGGCACGUUGUCCUUUGGUUGUUUUGCUGUCAUGGGGCGGAUGUAUUGAUCCCUUUUUUUUCUUUGUGCUUGCCCAGCUGUAUUCCUGCCUCAGUUCGCUCUCUGUGCCUCUGGCAAUGCCGCCGCCUCCGCCUCCACCCACCCAUACGCACACUCACCUCUAGGCAGGCUUUGAGCGUCUCCUGCGCGCUGCAGGCGUCUGCGUGUCUCAUACAACGCAGCCUUCUCCCUAUUCCUCCUAUCUAUCCCUCCCCUCCGUGCAACGUUCCCUCAGUCUUCCACCUCCUUUCCUUUUCCCGAGCCCGUUAUGGUGCGCAGGCACGCGUGCAUGCAUGUCUGUGAACCCAGUGCCGUUCUGUGUUCUCUGCUAGAGGCCGCGCCGGUGCAUAAAAACAAGCAGCUGCAACGCGAUGGAAGCGGUGAGAGCGGUGAGGGGUAAGGCGCCGUCGCAGGGAUAUGCGGAUAGAUGUGUAUGUGUGCUCUACCGCGCUGACUCAGGUACGCAUUUUCACUUUCGUUUUUCUUUUGCUUUCUUUGGAUACCUAUAGCGGCUGCCGUCCCCCCCCCCCACCUCUCUCUCCCUUUGCUGUGCCACUGCUCCUUCCUUUACCACCCCUCACCGUCCGUCUCCCAAGCUGUGUGUAUGUGCGCGUGUAUGUCUUUCCUUGUUUGUUGAAGUGUACGAACGCACACGCUCUGCGCUGACAGCGUGUGUGGGUCGGGGAAGAGAGAAUGCGGAGGGAAGCGAACGAGGUCGGCGUGUUCGGUGGGCAAGUUUGUGGGGUGCAACGUCACCUAGUCACACCCCCACCUGCGCAGCGAGUGAUUCACCCUUGUCAUAUAUAUAUAUAUAUGUGUGUGUGUAUAUAUGUAUAUAUAUGUAUUGCUUGGGAAGGCGUUUGGUUCCACAGGUGCGAUCGCGCACGUUGGGGAGGAGUUGAUCUGCUGGUCUCUAUCUACCAUUAUCUUUGCUAUUUGUACGGCGGCUCGUAUGCAGGCCGCAUCGCUGAACUGGGGCUUAUCGGAUGGAGCGGUGAGUCACCCUGUCGGGGGACGCCGGCGUCUUCCUUUUUUUCUUUUUGCUCACUCUUCUCCUCUAGAUCGACGCGUGUUCGCCUUUGCGCAUACGGCUUUAGUGAUGACGGACACGGAGAUAGCCAGGCAUGGUGAGCUUGUUUUCCUUUUCUGUUUAAGCCUUUCUCUGUUUCGCUCUCGUUGAAGUAGUGGUGGCGGUGGCCUUCAUGACUGCGUCUCUGUGUGUGUGUGUGUGUCAGCCGUUCUUCGCUUCUUGGUCCCAGCCUUUUUUUUUUCAUGCUCCUCUGUGGUUUGUUGGGCGCUUUUCUUUGUUCCAUAAAACAUUUUUUUACCUUUUCUCUCCUCUUGCCUCUCGUCCUCCGGCCUACCUCCCCCCUUCCCCUCCACACGCAAAUAUGUCCUUUUCGUCCUAUACGUAUAUACCUCUCUCUCUCUAUAUAUAUCCCACAAGCAGAAGCGUGCACGUAUCUGCCUGGCUGCCCAUUACCUCACCCUCCCUCUCCCCGGAACGCGCAAGCACGCACUCACUCACCUGUGGCAGUCGUGCGGAGACACGCAGAAGGAUGUAUCCGCGGAGCAGGGAAGGGCAGAGAAAGGGGGAAUGUGGUGAACAGCCCUCAUGCAUCUCUCGCUCACAGGCGCCACGGUCCUCGCUGCAGACAUCGGCACCCUCCCCCCCUCCCUUUUCAUCCUUCCUUUUCGCCUUUCCUCGAAGCCACUGCGGCGUAAGUGUGAGUUUUCCCAUGUUGUGCGUGUGUCUGUGUAGCCACGGUGCUGAUCUUUCUUCCUUUUUAUUUUCGCUGCGUUGAUGGCAGCCCUCUUGUCUUCGUCUCCCACCCCUCGAGUGCGCUUCCCGCUCUCUGGCUCUCUUUGCUUUUUUUUCUUUGCGUCCUUUUCCGUGCACUUUUGGUCAGUGGGACUUCUUCGUAAGUGUCAGGGAUGCUGAGCACUGGCUCCGCUCGACUCGGCCGACUUCUCUCCUCCAUCCUCCUUGUCGAGGAGUUCUUAGCGGCUCGUCGUUUGUUGUUGUUCUUUUACUAUCGCUCUUCUUGUCUUUGUGAUUUUGGCGUCCCUGUGGAGGCGUGCCUGUGCACGUGCUUUUUUCCGCGUCAGAGUGUCGGUGUCUGUUUUCAUUCUUUUCGUUAUGUUGAGAGAGGGAGAGACAGAGAGACGGAGAGAGACUCGAGUAAGGCCGCUGCGUCUGCAUUCUUGGAUAGAAGAACCCCCGAACCACACGCACACGCACACGCACACACACACGCACGCAAGCACACACAACAAGGAUCAGAACGCCACUUUGCUUCGCCGCUACCCUGCAUCGCCGCUCUGCCCCUCCCACACACACGCACACACAUGCACAGCCCCUCUUCCUCUGACUCCUGGCUACAGCUUGUCCUCUUUUCGGUUGUUGCCUCACUGCUGCUUCUCCUGUUCCAUCGGCUAUCUUCCUCCCUCUCUCUUUGUGUGGGUAAGUGAGCUUAGGUGUCUGUCGGCUUUCCUAUUGCAUGGGCGGAUUGCACAGAACCCCAAAUAGCCAUUCGCGCCUGCCUUUCUCUCUCCUCCCUCUUCCUAAUCUUCCCCGAGGGGUGUCUCCCACCGCCUUCCCCCCCCCUCUCGCUUACACACGGCGCGCACGCACACAGCCAUGCCCAUGCCCACUCACGCACUGGGAUGCAUGCAUCAAGUAGAGAGACAUUGCGCAUCAACGUUCACCGACGCGCCCAACUGGCAUUUGGUUGGUGAACUGGGUGGGGCAGGUGAUGCGCAGGAGUUCUCACGCCAAAACAAACAAGGAACGAGAUAUAAUGCCAAUAUAUAUAUUUAUUUAUAUGUGGAAAGAGAGAGGCACAAAUAUAUACACACAUAAAGGCAUACAUAUAUACACGCAUAUAUAUAUAUAUGCAUAUAUGUUUGUAUCUAUCGUGGCUGUCUAUCAGCAUUUUUUUUCUGCGUGUUUGUGUGUGUCUUGAGCCGCGGUACUCUCUAACGCAGCUGGAUAAGCGUGAGAAAGGAAAAAGGCAAGCCUCCCUCUCAAAGAUACCCGCACACGCGAAAAAAAUAAGUGGCGAAGAAAACCGCGUGAGAGAAGGGGGAGCGUGGGCAAAAGGGAAAGGACGCCGAACAGGGUGCGGCGCGCUUCGGCCCCCGUGUGCUCUGUCUACGUGCACACGCUCCUUCGCUGCUCUGUCGGCACCCCUCUCCGUUGUUCU
rnacentral:misc_RNA from 1 species